GGUUUCCUAAAAUAUUUCACAUUUUCCACCUUUUCUAUCUAAGAAUUAAUGUUGCCGCCUACCAUUUACAGCAUCCAUCUUCAGCUUCAGUUAUUGAUUCCUUGCCAUGGAAGCUAUCUCUGAGCUCUUAUAUCCACUUAUAAUUGUAAUGUGCCCAUACUUUAUGUUUAUAUACUUUAUUUUCUACUUUACUCAGUCUACAUAUGAUACCUACUGAUUUCAAGUGGACCAUGUUCAUCCCUAUAGCACCUUAUAGUGAAGAUCCUAGUAUGAGUGCGUCACACAGAUAGUUGAUUCAAGUGAUACUUGGCAUCCAUUUGAGGAAUCAACUAUAUUACCACUCUUUCUGCUUAGUGACUUGGUGAUUCGGGGACAACUUUUGAGUGAGACUGAAGUGGUGAGCUUUUAUACUUAAAAAUACCCUAAUUCAUAUUAUGGAUUUCCUUUUGUCAUUAUUAUUUCUUCCGCUUUGGUUUUGGCUUUGGUCGGGGGCAUGUCCCGACUGGAUACUUUUUGACUCUGGUUAGAGUCUUUGCUGGACUACUAUAGGCAUGGGCGGUAUCGGUAUUAGUCUUAGUAUUGUUAUUGGUAUUAUAAUUGGGAUUGGUAUUGGAUGGUUAAUUGGUUGUGGCUUUCAAUUUUGAUUUUAGACUUAUUAUCAUGUGUUUAAUUUAACAAUAUCUUAUCUCUUUAUAUGUUUGGAAUUCAUCCGACAUGGGGUGUAGUGAUGUUAAUGGUUUGGAUAUUGGGGGUGGUCUCUGAUCCUGGUAGGACUUGAGAUACCUAACACGACUAGGCCCUAGUUUGGGUCAUGUCAUAGCUCUUAUAUUAACAGUACUAAAAGAAGAGCGUGUGUUUUACCAUCUUUGAUGAUUCUUUUGGUAUUAGAUUAGGUGUUGUGUUAAUGUAGAAGGGUAAGGUGAUUACUUAUGCUUCUUAUUAGUUGAAGCCCCAUGAGAGAAAUUACCAUACCAAUGAUUUGGAGUUGUGUGUGAUUAAUUUUUCUUUAAUAUUGUGGAGACACUACUUGUAUUAAGUCCAUUAUGUGAUUUUCUUGGAUCAUCGUAGCCUUCAGUAUUUUGU